rnacentral:siRNA from 1 species
GACAACAUAUCGCUUACGAAAUC